CAAACAACAACGGGGGGGGUGGGGUGUCGGGGGGGGGGAAGAAAGACAGAGAGAGAGAGGAGUUUUUAGUAAUUAGUGCGACAUAAUUGAGUAAUGCGGCAGCUCCUCGCUCCAGCCCCCCCCUCCACCCCCCCCUUUCCCACUUCCCCCCUGCUCUUCUUCUUCCCCGAUCGAUGCAAUAUCAUUAGGGUGAGAGGCUUUGGGGCAGAGCUCGGGGGGCCCGAACCGCUGUCGGUACUUGGGGGGGUCCCGUCAGGCGUCGCUCCGUCCCCACCGGCCCGACCCGGCAGCGCCCCGAAUCCGAAGGGUUGGGCUCGGGUUCGGUGCCCCAUCUCGGAGCCGGCUCCUCUCCCCUUCUUCCCAUCCAUUCGACAGCUGGAUGCUAUUGAUCCCUUCCCUCUCCUCCUUUUUUUUCCUUCCCUUCCCGAGCUCUCUCUCCUCUCUCUUUAAUUCCCUCCGUUCCUCCGGAGGAGCCGCCCGGUUCUGGGGGUAAGUGCGCAAAUGGGAUCUCGGCCGCUCUCCGCUCUCCCUGUGCUGCCCCACGCGCGGAGUGGGCUCCCCCUCAUCCCCCCCCAUACCCCAAUACAUCUUCCUUCACCGGAGCCCUUCGGUUGCCGUACCCAGCGCUGCCCCCGUGUUCAGCGCUGCUGCGCUUCGGCGAUUUUUAUUCUGCGCUCAAUUUUCAUCUUUCUCCCCCCCCCCCCCAUACACCCUCCAUCCCUACCCCCCUUCCCUCCUUCAUUUCGCCUUAGGAAGAGCCCGAAAGGCAAAACGACGCGGCCCCAAAUAAGAGGCGGAGAAGCACCUGAGGGUGAGAUUUAUGGCAUCCAGCGAUCAGAAAGGUUAAAUGUGAGGCCAGAUCGAUCUUCCCCCCCCAUCGCCAUCCCUCCCCAUUGCCUGCAGCCAUCCUGGAGGACGUGGCUCAGCCUGAAGUGGCCAAGUGACCACGUAGGACCGCGGGACCCGAAGAUGCUGCUGACCAAUGGCUGCCCAAAGGAGCCCUUGUUGCUUAGCAACUCGGCUGCAGAGAGAGAGGGAGAGAGCGCAAAAAGAUGGAUUUUCAGAUUGCAGCAGCCAAGCAGAUCAAUUCUGCAACAUGGGCUACAGUGGCCAAGCGGAAUCUCUCUUGCUCCCAGCAGGUAUUGAUCCAGCCAUGCUAUAGGCAUUGAAUGAGCUCUAAUAAGUCCUGAGUAAACAGGAACAAGGACUUAAGUGAUAGCCCAGCAGUCAAACAUCAACUCCCUUUGUCUUCUCCUUCCUCUUCUUUUUUUUCUUCUUCUUCUUGUUUUUUGUUUUUUUAAUUGCUGAAACCUUCGCAAGAAAACGGCAAUAAAGUUUAUUGAUAGAAAAAUGAAGAGUCA
rnacentral:lncRNA from 1 species